ACGCUCGACACCUACGGGAGGCAGCAGUGGGGAAUAUUGCACAAUGGGGGAAACCCUGAUGCAGCGACGCCGCGUGAGCGAAGAAGUAUUUCGGUAUGUAAAGCUCUAUCAGCAGGGAANAAAAUGACGGUACCUGACUAAGAAGCCCCGGCUAACUACGUGCCAGCAGCCACGGUAAUCUGAGCGGCUGGCAAGGC
rnacentral:rRNA from 1 species